ACUGCGCGCCAGGCCAGGUUCCUGAGAGCAGACAGCGCGGGCUGGGAGCGCCGGCAAGGGCGGCCCUCGCGCACCUGGCUGCCAGCCCGCAGGGGGCUCGCACGCAGACCUGCCCUUGCCACCUCAGCGCUCGGGUGCGGGCUGGGGGCGGUGGAGCCACGAAAGGUGGUGCCGAGAGCGGAGCGCAGGACAGCGCAGGAGCCCCGGCGCAUCGCGGCGCGCACAGACCCAGGAUUUGUGAAGAGGUGACCCAAAUUUCAAGACAAUGUUGGAUGCAAACGGAUUUGCCAGCAACUGCAUCACUGUCAAAACCAGCUCUGCCCGUGUCUUCCGAAGAUACCAAGUGAAAUACAUGUAGAUGGGAUUUACAUCUGAAAAACCAAGGCAAGAGGCCAUGGGAAGGGACGGAGGUGGAACAGGACUGGACAGAAGCUGAUAAAUGGUUGUUGCUGAGUACUGGGCAGAUAGGGGUUGGUUAUCCUAUUGUCUUUACUUUCAUAUAUUUUAUUUUUUCUGUAAUAAAACAAAUUAAAAUCACCUGUCGUGACCUCACAGGGGCCAGUGUGGGUUGUGGCGUGAGGCAGGAAGCUCUGCAGAGUUCCUUGGUCAAAAGGAUUAAUUACAAAAGAACUCCAUGAACACCGAGAAGAAGAGAAGGGAAUCCUGGCAUUUAAAGCCACAAAGAAACUUGAUAUGGUCUUGUCUCCUUCUCUCAAUUGACAGUGAGAAACUGAAGACCAGAGAGGGUGAGUGGUUUACUCAGUUUGGCACAACUGACCCCAACCUAGCCCUCCAUGAGGACUGAGCGCAUGAGAGAUCCUGAGCCACAGCCGCCCAGCCCUGCUCCUCUCGAAUUUCUGACCUACAGGAACUGCAAGAAGUAAUGAAAGACUGCUGUUUAAAGCCACUGCAUUUUGGCAUGAUUUGUUAUGCAGUCGUAGAUAACCAGAAAACAUCGGAUUUACAUUUUAAGGAUUACUUCAUGCACAUAAAAGAAAACGCAACUACAGUGGACCCUGAACAACGUAGGAAACAGAGAAGCAAAGAAGUUAGCAAGCUUGUUUUGGCAGAAGAAAAAACACAAAAUACCCAACCACAGAUCCUCAAAAAUAUUGCUAAGCACUAAUUUUGCUAACAUGUUAGACAGCCUUCGGAUCUAGGCAAUCUUGUUCCUCAGCUGGAAAGAGUUCCUGCCAGCCAUGUGAUUCCAAAUCCACCCUGGACAUAUGGGGAUAAUGAGAAAAUCAGCUCCGGCCUUCCCUGGCCUUCCAGCCAAGUGAAUGGGGGCAUCCCCUGGUGCUUCAGCCCGGGGCCCACCCAGAGGAUGCUAGCUGGCCUGCAGAGGCCUCAACCAUGCCCUCCUGGACUCAGGUAAGACUGAGGUUUCCAUGCCCUCAAAACAAUUGUUCAGACAAAAACUCACUGCCCAGGUCAAAGUCACAGCACCAGAAAGCCAACCUGAGGAUGAAGACAAAGCUCUUUGUUGGCACAGUCCCCUGAUCAUUCGAGGUCAGCAUCUCCAUCAAAAUGGACCCAAUGCUGAGGCAAGAAGGAGAACAUCACUGUUAAGAAGGUAAUGAGUCACAAAUGCUAUUUCGAUGGUUUUCUUUGAAAGAAAUACACAGAACCAAACCAAUUUUAAUUAAAGAUCUUGUCUUUGUAAUCAGGCAGCCACAAAUGAAGGCAAAACUGCUUUCAUGUGGCAUAAUAUACACAGAGCUGAACUAGUUUUCCCAUAAAAGGGCAGGUUCUUUUCUUCAAAUAAGAAAAGAGUUUGUUCCUAACAAUAUGGGGGAUGCAACAGAAAGCUGUCUUUUGCAAAGUAUAAAAUUGCAGAUCCUCCCGUGGAAGCCAUUUCUUGAUGCUAAACCAAUGCGAACGUUUGCCAAACGCACAUGCGAGCCGGGAUUAUCCUACCCUUUGAGAUUAGACAUGUGAUCCUGAUUUUUAAGUGAAAAACGCAGCCAGAGGCCAAAUAAACAUACCUACAAGUACAUCGAAAGCUCAAAUGGUUGAGAAAUGAUUGUAACACACCCCGGUGUGUAUUUCUGAGGAAGAAUCAACAUGCACAUGGAAAUUGAUGUUUUGAUUUUUAAUUUUAAAACGACGACAGAACUGAAAUACCUCCCCUAACUAGGUCCACUGAAACCAGUGAGGAGAUAAUCAUUUUCAGUUAAAUAUGCAUGUAAUUUAAUAAUCCACAGAUGGAAAAUGCAUUUGAGGUGGACUGAACACAGCCAGGAGUUUUUGCUUAUCGACAGCACUGAAUCCUGCCUUGACUAGAGAGACUCGUCAUGUGAUCAACUGUGGCCAGAGGGCAUCCUGCAGACAGCUCCUGUCACACCACACUGACCAGACUCUUAUGAGUAUUUAAGCAUCUUCAGGGAAGCGAUUGACUGUCUUAUAAUGGUCUUACAAGUACGGAACUUUAUUACCUGCUAAUAAUCAGAGCACAUGAUGGCACAAUAGAAUAUACGAGUGAAGUUCUAAAUGCAAGGUUGUUCUUAUUCUGUGAGUGGCAAAACUCAUGCAGUGAGCAGAUAAAGCUGGCAGGAGGCAUUGGCGCCCUAAUGCUGGGCACUAACCACCUGCCCGGACUGCGAAUAUCUGUUGGGUCCUUUCUAUAUCUGGUCUAUUCUCGUGUUUGAUUAUAUCCUGGUGGCAAGAAUAGCAAAAUCAACUCUCCUUCCUAUCCCAUGUGGAGAGGCAUGAUUUGAGUCAGAGAGCAUUAUCCUCUCUGCGUUAUCCAACCCCAUGUCCCAUGAUGCACUUUGUAGACAAGCAAGUGUCCCUGGUGGAGAAUCCACAGCCACACAUCCUCAUUGGUUGCAAGGAUCAGUGUCCAAUAUCUACUGCCAUGAUCAUUCUCAGUUUUACAUCCACAGAGCUUCAUAGAAUUCUAACACCACAGGUCCAAGUAGAGGUUUUGGCCUCAGAGUGGGCUAGAUUCCACCUCUGACAGCAGCUGUGGGACUGUUUUUCCAUCUGUAAAAUGGAGACAAGAGUAUCACCUACCUCAUGGUGUUGGUGGGAUCGUUAAACAGAAUUCCGAUCAUGAAACCCUUAGCCUGCUCCCUGCAUAGGCUGCAUGCGCUCAGUGAGCUAUGGCUCUGUUUCAUGCUGACUUUACCAUCAUGUAAGCAGUUUUAAAAAUGCUAGAAGCUUUAGUCAUAGAAUUACCAUAUGAUACAGCCUACUGCAGAGUCCAGAGGCUGAGGCAGGAGAGUUACUUGAACCUGGGAGGCGGAGGUUGCAGUGAGCCAAGAUCGCGCCACUGCACUCCAGCCUGGGCAACAGAGUGAGAUUCUGUCUCAACACAAAAAAGAAGACAUGUGUCCCCAUCACAGUAUCAUACAGAGUGCUUCCACUGCCCUAAAAUACCCUGUGCUCUUCCUAUUCAUCCCUCUCUUCAACCCCAGCAACCACUGAUCCUUUUACCAUCUCCAUGGUUUUGCCUUUCCCAGAAUGUCAUAUUGUUGGAAUCAUACGCUAUGUAGCCUUUGCAAAUGGGCUUCUUUCACCGAGCAAUGUGCAUUGAAGGUGCCUCUAUGACUUUUCAAGGGUUGAUAGCUCAUUCCUUUUUAUUGCUAAAUAAUAUUCCAUUGU
rnacentral:lncRNA from 1 species